rnacentral:rRNA from 1 species
CCUACGGGAGGCAGCAGUAGGGAAUAUUGCUCAAUGGGGGAAACCCUGAAGCAGCAACGCCGCGUGGAGGAUGAAGGCUUUCGGAUUGUAAACUUCUUUUGUUAGAGAAGAUAAUGUGGGUAUCUAACGAAUAAGCACCGGCUAACACCGUGCCAGCAGCCGCGGUAAUACGGAGGGUGCAAGCGUUACUCGGAUUCACUGGGCGUAAAGCGCGCGUAGGCGGGAUAGCAAGUCAGAUGUGAAAUCCUAGGGCUUAACCCUGGAACUGCAUUUGAAACUGUUGUUCUAGAGUAUGGGAGAGGUAGGUGGAAUUCAUGGUGUAGGGGUAAAAUCCGUAGAGAUCAAGAGGAAUACUCAUUGCGAAGGCGACCUGCUAGAACAUAACUGACGCUGAUGCGCGAAAGCGUGGGGAGCAAACAGGAUUAGAUACCCUUGUAGUC